AACGAACGCUGGCGGCAUGCCUAACACAUGCAAGUCGAACGAGAUCUUCGGGUCUAGUGGCGCACGGGUGCGUAACGCGUGGGAAUCUGCCCUUUGGUUCGGUAUAACAGUUGGAAACGACUGCUAAUACCGGAUGAUGACGGAAGUCCAAAGAUUUAUCGCCAGAGGAUGAGCCCGCGUAGGAUUAGCUAGUUGGUGUGGUAAAGGCGCACCAAGGCGACGAUCCUUAGCUGGUCUGAGAGGAUGAUCAGCCACACUGGGACUGAGACACGGCCCAGACUCCUACGGGAGGCAGCGGUGGGGAAUAUUGGACAAUGGGCGAAAGCCUGAUCCAGCAAUGCCGCGUGGGUGAUGAAGGCCUUAGGGUUGUAAAGCUCUUUUACCCGGGAUGAUAAUGACAGUACCGGGAGAAUAAGCUCCGGCUAACUCCGUGCCAGCCGCCGCAGUAA
rnacentral:rRNA from 1 species